rnacentral:rRNA from 1 species
GCGUUAAGUUGCAGGGUAUAGACCCGAAACCCGGUGAUCUAGCCAUGGGCAGGUUGAAGGUUGGGUAACACUAACUGGAGGACCGAACCGACUAAUGUUGAAAAAUUAGCGGAUGACCUGUGGCUGGGGGUGAAAGGCCAAUCAAACCGGGAGAUAGCUGGUUCUCCCCGAAAGCUAUUUAGGUAGCGCCUCGUGAAUUCAUCUCCGGGGGUAGAGCACUGUUUCGGCUAGGGGGCCAUCCCGGCUUACCAACCCGAUGCAAACUGCGAAUACCGGAGAAUGUUAUCACGGGAGACACACGGCGGGUGCUAACGUCCGUCGUGAAGAGGGAAACAACCCAGACCGCCAGCUAAGGUCCCAAAGUCAUGGUUAAGUGGGAAACGAUGUGGGAAGGCCCAGACAGCCAGGAUGUUGGCUUAGAAGCAGCCAUCAUUUAAAGAAAGCGUAAUAGCUCACUGGUCGAGUCGGCCUGCGCGGAAGAUGUAACGGGGCUAAACCAUGCACCGAAGCUGCGGCAGCGACGCUGAUGCGUUGUUGGGUAGGGGAGCGUUCUGUAAGCCUGCGAAGGUGUGUCGUGAGGCAUGCUGGAGGUAUCAGAAGUGCGAAUGCUGACAUAAGUAACGAUAAAGCGGGUGAAAAGCCCGCUCGCCGGAAGACCAAGGGUUCCUGUCCAACGUUAAUCGGGGCAGGGUGAGUCGACCCCUAAGGCGAGGCCGAAAGGCGUAGUCGAUGGGAAACGGGUUAAUAUUCCCGUACUUGGUGUUACUGCGAAGGGGGGACGGAGAAGGCUAUGUUGGCCGGGCGACGGUUGUCCCGGUUUAAGCGUGUAGGUGUGUGUUCCAGGUAAAUCCGGUUCACUUUAACACUGAGGCGUGAUGACGAGGCACUACGGUGCUGAAGCAACAAAUGCCCUGCUUCCAGGAAAAGCCUCUAAGCAUCAGGUAACAUCAAAUCGUACCCCAAACCGACACAGGUGGUCAGGUAGAGAAUACCAAGGCGCUUGAGAGAACUCGGGUGAAGGAACUAGGCAAAAUGGUGCCGUAACUUCGGGAGAAGGCACGCUGACACGUAGGUGAAGUGAUUUACUCAUGGAGCUGAAGUCAGUCGAAGAUACCAGCUGGCUGCAACUGUUUAUUAAAAACACAGCACUGUGCAAACACGAAAGUGGACGUAUACGGUGUGACGCCUGCCCGGUGCCGGAAGGUUAAUUGAUGGGGUCAGCGCAAGCGAAGCUCCUGAUCGAAGCCCCGGUAAACGGCGGCCGUAACUAUAACGGUCCUAAGGUAGCGAAAUUCCUUGUCGGGUAAGUUCCGACCUGCACGAAUGGCGUAAUGAUGGCCAGGCUGUCUCCACCCGAGACUCAGUGAAAUUGAACUCGCUGUGAAGAUGCAGUGUACCCGCGGCAAGACGGAAAGACCCCGUGAACCUUUACUAUAGCUUGACACUGAACAUUGAGCCUUGAUGUGUAGGAUAGGUGGGAGGCUUUGAAGUGUGGACGCCAGUCUGCAUGGAGCCGGCCUUGAAAUACCACCCUUUAAUGUUUGAUGUUCUAACGUGGACCCGUGAUCCGGGUUGCGGACAGUGUCUGGUGGGUAGUUUGACUGGGGCGGUCUCCUCCUAAAGAGUAACGGAGGAGCACGAAGGUUGGCUAAUCCUGGUCGGACAUCAGGAGGUUAGUGCAAUGGCAUAAGCCAGCUUGACUGCGAGCGUGACGGCGCGAGCAGGUGCGAAAGCAGGUCAUAGUGAUCCGGUGGUUCUGAAUGGAAGGGCCAUCGCUCAACGGAUAAAAGGUACUCCGGGGAUAACAGGCUGAUACCGCCCAAGAGUUCAUAUCGACGGCGGUGUUUGGCACCUCGAUGUCGGCUCAUCACAUCCUGGGGCUGAAGUAGGUCCCAAGGGUAUGGCUGUUCGCCAUUUAAAGUGGUACGCGAGCUGGGUUUAGAACGUCGUGAGACAGUUCGGUCCCUAUCUGCCGUGGGCGCUGGAGAACUGAGGGGGGCUGCUCCUAGUACGAGAGGACCGGAGUGGACGCAUCACUGGUGUUCGGGUUGUCAUGCCAAUGGCACUGCCCGGUAGCUAAAUGCGGAAGAGAUAAGUGCUGAAAGCAUCUAAGCACGAAACUUGCCCCGAGAUGAGUUCU